GAUGAAGAACGUAGCGAAAUGCGAUAAGUAAUGUGAAUUGCAGAAUUCAGUGAAUCAUCGAAUCUUUGAACGCACAUUGCGCCCGCCAGUAUUCUGGCGGGCAUGCCUGUUCGAGCGUCAUUACAACCCUCAGGCCCCCGGGCCUGGCGUUGGGGAUCGGCGGAAGCCCCCUGCGGGCACAACGCCGUCCCCCAAAUACAGUGGCGGUCCCGCCGCAGCUUCCAUUGCGUAGUAGCUAACACCUCGCAACUGGAGAGCGGCGCGGCCACGCCGUAAAACACCCAACUUCUGAAUGUUGACCUCGAAUCAGGUAGGAAUACCCGCUGAACUUAAGCAUAUCAAUAAGCGGAGUA
rnacentral:misc_RNA from 1 species